GUAGGGAAUUUUCGGCAAUGGGGGAAACCCUGACCGAGCAACGCCGCGUGAGCGAAGAAGGCCUUCGGGUCGUAAAACUCUGUUGUAAAGGAAGAACGUCGCAUGCAGGAAAUGGUGUGCGAGUGACGGUACUUUACCAGAAAGCCACGGCUAACUACGUGCCAGCAGCCGCGGUAAUACGUAGGUGGCGAGCGUUAUCCGGAAUCAUUGGGCGUAAAGAGGGAGCAGGCGGCCGCAAGGGUCUGUGGUGAAAGACCGAAGCUAAACUUCGGUGAGCCAUGGAAACCGGGCGGCUAGAGUGCGGAAGAGGAUCGUGGAAUUCCAUGUGUAGCGGUGAAAUGCGUAGAUAUAUGGAGGAACACCAGUGGCGAAGGCGACGGUCUGGGCCGCAACUGACGCUCAUUCCCGAAAGCGUGGGGAGCAA
rnacentral:rRNA from 1 species